AACCUCCGCAAUGUGAGAAAUCGCGACGGGGGGAUCCCAAGUGCCAUUCUUAACGGGGUGGCUUUUCUUAAGUGUAAAAAGCUUUUGGAAUAAGAGCUGGGCAAGACCGGUGCCAGCCGCCGCGGUAACACCGGCAGCUCUAGUGGUAGCUGUUUUUAUUGGGCCUAAAGCGUUCGUAGCCGGUUUGAUAAGUCACUGGUGAAAUCCUGUAGCUUAACUGUGGGAAUUGCUGGUGAUACUGUUGAACUUGAGGUCGGGAGAGGUUAGCGGUACUCCCAGGGUAGAGGUGAAAUUCUGUAAUCCUGGGAGGACCACCUGUGGCGAAGGCGGCUAACUGGAACGAACCUGACGGUGAGGGACAAAGCUGGGGGCGCGAACCGGAUUAGAUACCCGGGUAGUCCUAGCCGUAAACGAUGCGGACUUGGUGUUGGGGUGGCUUUGAGCCGCUCCGGUGCCGAAGGGAAGCUGUUAAGUCCGCCGCCUGGGAAGUACGGUCGCAAGACUGAAACUUAAAGGAAUU
rnacentral:rRNA from 1 species